UGCCAUUGUCGCAAUAUAUUGUUCGUGG
rnacentral:sRNA from 1 species